CACUAUGCAUAGCCGUAAACCUGACAGCUCCUUACAUCUGCUGUUCGCCUGGGAACUACGAGCGUAAGCUUAAAACCCAAAGGACUUGACGGUGCUUUAUAUCCCCCUAGAGGAGCCUGUCCUAGAACCGAUAAUCCCCGUUAAACCUCACCUUUUCUUGCCCAUCCCGCCUAUAUACCGCCGUCUCCAGUCUACCCUGUAAAGGACCCAUAGUAGGCGAAAUUGGUACAGCCCCAGACGACAGGUCGAGGUGUAGCGUAUGAAAAGGGAAGAGAUGGGCUACAUUCAAUGAAACACUGAAUACGGAGAGCUAAUUGAAAUAUUAACUUGAAGGAGGAUUUAGCAGUAAGUGGAGAAUAGAGAGCCCCACUGAAAUCGGCCCUGAAGCGUGUACACACCGCCCGUCACUCUCCCCGAGCAGAGAAACUCUUUACCUAAAAAGCCAGAAAAUGUAAAGGGGAGGCAAGUCGUAA
rnacentral:rRNA from 1 species